UUCUUAUCACGAGAGGUGGAGGGACUGGCCCUUUGAAACCUCAGCAACCGGUCUGCACUGACGACGUCAGUGCACCAAGGUGCUAAAUCCAGCAAGCGGAUGCUUGGAAGAUAAGAA
rnacentral:ncRNA from 23 species